GGAUGAGUAGCGAAUUUGUGAGUAACGCGUGGGUAACCUACCUCUUAGCGGGGGACAACUAUUGGAAACGAUAGCUAAUACCGCAUAACAAUACCUAACACAUGUUAAGUAUUUGAAAGCACCAAUUGGUGCACUAAGAGAUGGACCCGCGUUGUAUUAGCUAGUUGGUAGUGUAAUGGACUACCAAGGCGAUGAUACAUAGCCGACCUGAGAGGGUGAUCGGCCUCAUUGGGACUGAGACACGGCCCAAACUCCUACGGGAGGCAGCAGUAGGGAAUCUUCGGCAAUGGGGGCAACCCUGACCGAGCAACGCCGCGUGAGUGAAGAAGGCUUUCGGAUCGUAAAACUCUGUUGUUAGAGAAGAACGUCAGUGAGAGUGGAAAGUUCACUGAGUGACGGUAUCUAACCAGAAAGGGACGGCUAACUACGUGCCAGCAGCCGCGGUAAUACGUAGGUCCCGAGCGUUGUCCGGAUUUAUUGGGCGUAAAGCGAGCGCAGGUGGUUUAAUAAGUCUGAUGUAAAAGGCAGUGGCUCAACCAUUGUGUGCAUUGGAAACUGUUAGACUUGAGUGCAGUAGAGGAGAGUGGAAUUCCAUGUGUAGCGGUGAAAUGCGUAGAUAUAUGGAGGAACACCGGUGGCGAAAGCGGCUCUCUGGACUG
rnacentral:rRNA from 1 species